rnacentral:rRNA from 1 species
AUUGAACGCUGGCGGCGUGCCUUACACAUGCAAGUCGAACGGCAGCACGGGAGCUUGCUCCUGGUGGCGAGUGGCGAACGGGUGAGUAAUACAUCGGAACGUACCCUGAAGUGGGGGAUAACGUAGCGAAAGUUACGCUAAUACCGCAUAUUCUGUGAGCAGGAAAGAGGGGGAUCGCAAGACCUCUUGCUUUAGGAGCGGCCGAUGUCGGAUUAGCUAGUUGGUGAGGUAAAGGCUCACCAAGGCGACGAUCCGUAGCGGGUCUGAGAGGAUGAUCCGCCACACUGGGACUGAGACACGGCCCAGACUCCUACGGGAGGCAGCAGUGGGGAAUUUUGGACAAUGGGCGCAAGCCUGAUCCAGCCAUGCCGCGUGAGUGAAGAAGGCC